AGAUUGAACGCUGGCGGCAGGCCUAACACAUGCAAGUCGAGCGGUAGAGAGGUGCUUGCAUCUCUUGAGAGCGGCGGACGGGUGAGUAAUGCCUAGGAAUCUGCCUAGUGGUGGGGGAUAACGUUCGGAAACGGACGCUAAUACCGCAUACGUCCUACGGGAGAAAGCGGGGGACCUUCGGGCCUCGCGCCAUUAGAUGAGCCUAGGUCGGAUUAGCUAGUUGGUGAGGUAAUGGCUCACCAAGGCGACGACUCCGUAACUGGUC
rnacentral:rRNA from 1 species